GUGCUCACUUCGGCAGCACAUAUACUAAAUUUGGAACGAUAGAGAGAUGAUUAGCAUGGCCCCUGCGCAAAGAUGAAACACAAAUUCAUGAAGUGUUCCAUAUUUAA
rnacentral:snRNA from 1 species